rnacentral:tRNA from 1 species
GGCCUUGUGGCCUAGUGGUAUGAUUCUCGCUUAGGUUGCGAGAGGUCCCAGAUUCGAUCUCCGGCAAGGCCC